GACGAACGCUGGCGGCGUGCUUAACACAUGCCAGUCGAACGGAAAGGCCCUGCUUUUGUGGGGUGCUCGAGUGGCGAACGGGUGAGUAACACGUGAGUAACCUGCCCUUGACUUUGGGAUAACUUCAGGAAACUGGGGCUAAUACCGGAUAGGAGCUCCUGCUGCAUGGUGGGGGUUGGAAAGUUUCGGCGGUUGGGGAUGGACUCGCGGCUUAUCAGCUUGUUGGUGGGGUAGUGGCUUACCAAGGCUUUGACGGGUAGCCGGCCUGAGAGGGUGACCGGCCAAAUUGGGACUGAGAUACGGCCAAGACCCCUACGGGAGGAAGAAGGGGGGAAUAUUGAACAAGGGGCGGAAGCCUGAGGCAGCAACCCCGCGUGCGGGAUGACGGCCUUCGGGUUGUAACCCGCUUUCGCCUGUGACGAAGCGGGAGUGACGGUAAUGGGUAAAGAAGCACCGGCUAACUACGUG
rnacentral:rRNA from 1 species